rnacentral:tRNA from 1 species
GGGCCCGUAGCUUAGCAAGGUAGAGCGGCGGACUAACCACCCGCAGGUCAGGGGUUCAAUUCCCCUCGGGCCCGCCA